AGGAAGGAGAAAUAACGGCUCCUAUUGCAACGCAAGGCGCUGUAACAGUUUCUACAACUGGCCCGAAGCCCUGUUUAAGGUCUCCACUAAGUGUAAUAGCUGACCAGCUACAGAGGUGCGACUACAUUGGCUCUAUCCGAACGAGGGAUUCAACCAACCCUCUUUACGUUGAGCUUGAAAGACAACAUCUUCAGCGCCCUAGUGGAGCUGUACUCA
rnacentral:lncRNA from 1 species